GCGUCAUUUGGGGUUAAUAGUUUGAGAUUUUUCCAAAGAGGAAGAAUGACAUUUAGUAGGGGUAUGUACUAGCUCCUCAUCCUUAUUUUGAACUACAUAUUAGGAAAUAUGAGAUAGGUCAUGAAUUUUGUCUUACAGGAUAUGAGAUAGGUCAUGAAAUUGAUCUUACAUUAAUCAAAAUUUAGGAUGAUGUUGUUAAUAAAAAAUGAUCUCACAUAAUCAUUUAGAUAGCCUGAAAGCUAAAUAUCUGCCUAUGCACGCGGUUGAUUUCAGGAAUAUAUUCAAGAUGACAUUGCCUGGGCUAAAGUUGAAUUUGAAGACAACAAAGUGAUACACUAUGCUAAACAAAGAAGAAGAUUCGAACAAAAUGGAAAUAGUGAAGAUAAGUUUUCUGAUGCCUUGUUAUUUCCUUUGAUAAAUUUUACCUUCUCUCUUUGAAUUAAUUUCAUUUUUGCUAUUAAAUGACCUUAUACUAAAAUUUAACAUUUUCUUCUUAAGAUUCAGGUUGCAGUGCACCCAGGAAAUGUCUUGGCCUUGCACAUGUAUAAACCACAAGGAUUUAAGUACUCUAGUGGACAGUAUAUUUUUUUGAGCUGCCCUGAUGUCUCGCCUUUUCAAUGGUGUUUGUGUGGAAGUUUAUCCACUCCUGAUUUGCCAGUGAUUGGAUAUGACUUGCCUCUUCUUUUCCAACCAAUGUUGAUGUCAUGAUUACGGGUGGAGCAACAUCACCUGUUUUCUACAAUUUGAGGCGAAGGUGGUUAUGAGUGGACAUUUCUCUUUCUUCUUCUUUUUCUCUCUGUGACUAUUGUACUCAGUCCUUCUAAUUGUACACACUGUACUCUUAGAGGUUGAUUCUCAUUUUUAGUACGGGAAUAAAAUGAGUACAUUCUAUAAUUUCCAGUAUUUCCCUUUCAGAAGUUAUAUAGGAUGACACUCUUUCCAGUUAAA